rnacentral:misc_RNA from 1 species
GAUGAAGAACGCAGCGAAAUGCGAUAAGUAAUGCGAAUUGCAGAAUUUCCGUGAGUCAUCGAAUCUUUGAACGCACAUUGCGCCCAUUGGUAUUCCGAUGGGCAUGCCUGUUCGAGCGUCAUUUCAACCAUCAAGCCCCCGGCUUGUGUUGGGGACCUGCGGCUGCCGCAGGCCCUGAAAAGCAGUGGCGGGCUCGCUGUCACACCGAGCGUAGUAGCAUACAUCUCGCUCUGGGCGUGCUGCGGGUUCCGGCCGUUAAACCACCUUCAUAACCCAAGGUUGACCUCGGAUCAGGUAGGAAGACCCGCUGAACUUAAGCAUAUCAAUAAGCGGAGGA